rnacentral:tRNA from 1 species
GUGGAAUUGGUGAAGAGGCAUCACGGUCGCUUUGGAUGCGAGCGUCAGAGGUUCGAUUCCUCUAUUCCGCA